rnacentral:rRNA from 1 species
UACGAGGGGGGCGAGCGUUGUUCGGAAUUAUUGGGCGUAAGGGGUGCGUAGGCGGUUUGGUAAGUCUUGUGUGAAAUCUCCAGGCUCAACUUGGAGUCUGCACGAGAAACUGCCGGGCUUGAGUGUGGGAGAGGUGAGUGGAAUUCCUGGUGUAGCGGUGAAAUGCGUAGAUAUCAGGAGGAACACCUGUGGCGAAAGCGGCUCACUGGACCACAACUGACGCUGAUGCACGAAAGCUAGGGGAGCAAACAGG